rnacentral:rRNA from 1 species
GACGAACGCUGGCGGCGUGCUUAACACAUGCAAGUCGAACGGAAAGGCCCUGCUUUUGUGGGGUGCUCGAGUGGCGAACGGGUGAGUAACACGUGAGUAACCUGCCCUCGACUUUGGGAUAACUUCAGGAAACUGGGGCUAAUACCGGAUAGGAGCUCCUGCUGCAUGGUGGGGGUUGGAAAGUUUCGGCGGUUGGGGAUGGACUCGCGGCUUAUCAGCUUGUUGGUGGGGUGGUGGCUUACCAAGGCUUUGACGGGUACCCGGCCUGAGAGGGUGACCGGCCACAUUGGGACUGAGGUACGGCCCAGACUCCUACAGGAGGCAGCAGUGGGGAAUAUUGCACAAUGGGCGGAAGCCUGAUGCAGCAACGCCGCGGUCGGGAUGACGGCCUUCGGGGUGUAAACCGCUUUCGCCUGUGACGAAGCGUGAGUGACGGUAAUGGGUAAAGAAGCACCGGCUAACUACGUG